CAAAACGUCGAACCCAAGCCUUCCUCCUCUCCUUCCUUCCCCGAUCUCCCUUCCUUCUCUGUUCUCUCUCUGCGGAUGAGCGACGCCGACGGGAGCGAGGCUCCAGCUCCGGCGAUCUUCCUCUGCCGACAUCGAUGUCUUAAGCUCAGAUCCGACCGGAGCUUUUCCUCUCCUGAUCGUCAUCGCAUCGCGUCUCGCAGCCUCGUCUCAUUGCCAUCAGCGAUCGCCGGCGCAGAUCAGGGCUCGGAGCACAGAGGUUUCGAUUGAAGAUGAUGGGAUCAAUGGUAGCUGUCGACAAAGACAAGUAGGGUGGAAUCCAGUGAGGAGGAAUUCCAGGGAGGUCUUGAUGAGGCGUUCUUGAGCUGCUCGGCAGAGGCUAGAAGGAUGGUUAAUUGAUCAGCUAUCUCCCUGCUUGACCUCCUGUUGUGAUCCGAUUGAUUCCAAUGAGGUUGAGUGUUGUGGAUCAUCAAGCAUGACUAUGAGGUGAGGUUCUAUUCUUGCUGUGGAGUUGUUCUUGGUUCGGCUCUACUUGUUCCAGCAUCAACAGUAGCUGUGAUUUGAGGAGUCUGAUUCGAGAUGGGUAUCUCGACGUUGACUUUGGAUUUGCUUGAUUGUACCUUCUAUUUGAGGCGGUUGAUGCCGUCGGGAGAUAUUCCAGUCGCUAGCCCCCUUGUCGCGAGGAUUUCUAGUUGUCGAUUUCUGUUUUCGCCUCUAUGUAUAUAUCGGUGAUGUGGGUUUUGUAUUGUGGACUUUAUGUCGAACCUUUGGGUUUGCUACUUUUGUUUUCCGCUGCGGAUAUUUUCUUUACUUCGUGGAUUUCGUUUUCUUCGUUAUAGUGG